GUUUCUGCAGUGAUUUCUGUGGCGCUCUCCCAGCAAACCGCAAGGUCAGGGCAGAAUGAAGCGGGCUGGUGAGACUGAAUCCAUCACCAUCACCACUUGCUAGAGUACAGCCAGAGCUUUUUUGGAACAUUUCUGUGUGGUGGGGGAGACUUGAAGACAGACAGCCCUCGGCAAAAGGGACCUGCUGGGAUCCACUCUGGAAUAGGAACACAGCUCUCUGCACUGCUGACAGGUGUUGGCACCCAGGAGAACUUGGAGCAGACUGGCAAUCCUGGAUGGAGAUGAUUCCCUUCUGUUUUCAGCCAGGACCUCACACCUGAUGUUCAAUCGUUUCAGCUGAGGGGACCAUACUCCUUCGCCAUGUUGCUGAGGACUUGUGCAGUUGUAAACCAUCUGCAAGGUUGCCUGAGAUCAACCCCUUGUGAAACCCAGUCUCUUACAGAUAUAUCUGAAGAGGCCAAGGCUGAACCUUGUGUGCGGUGCUGAGUGUAACUUUCUCUCUUCACUUGAAGUUUCUCGGCUCUGAGUGAUCCACGUGAGCAGGGUAAAUGUUUGCAGAUGCAAAAUUUCA